rnacentral:rRNA from 1 species
UAAAUAAGCGGAGGAAAAGAAAUUAACUAAGAUUCUCUUAGUAACGGCGAGUGAAACGGGAGUUAGCCCAGCACUGAAUCCCCUCGAGUACGCAGUUCUUGGGGAGCUGUAGUGUAUGGGACUCGUACUAUUCGUUUGGCGUUUGUCUGUGACAAGUCGCAUUGAAUGUCUUGACUCCAGAGCGGGUGCGAGACCCUUGUCGACGUGGAUGACGCUACGAACCAGCAUCGAGUCCCGAGAGUCAGUUUGUUUGAGAUUGCAAACUAAAGACCGGUGGUAAGCUCCAUCGAAGGCUAAAUACUUCCACGAGUCCGAUAGCGAACAAGUACCGUGAGGGAACGUUGAAAAGAACUUUGAAGAGAGAGUUCAAUAGAAUGUGAAGUCGCAUAAAGGUAAACGAGUGGUACCGAAGUAGUCGGCCUCCGACGUACAGAUCCCCCAGACCGGCUUUUGCCUAGUCUAGCGUCGACGAGCAUUCCCUCGCGGUUUUGUCUCGUCGCGCUCGUCGAAUCUUUCGUCGGCUGGGGUUCGAAGUGGUCGUUGUGCCGGGCGUCGUAAUCAAUUCGCAUGUCGCUGGAUGAGGGACGCUGCGACUUUGAGAGGGAUCGACAUCACGUCUCCUAGCGAGUUCGUUCCUGUCAUUCACUCACGACUGCAGCAAAUCAAACCCUUCAGUGGAUGGCGGAUUGUGUAAGUGCCCCGCGUUUCUCAGGCCUGCAGGCUGGUCGAGCGCUUUCGAGUGUUCCCUUUCACUGUGGUGUCCUUUGGUUUGCGGUGGCUGAUUUACGACGAAGACGGUCUACUACUCGACC